GCGAGUGUAGCAGUUCACAAUCAUGCAAGGGAACAACGAGAGUUGCCUUACGCUUCUUGGGUGAACAGGAAUUGGACAAUCUCCGAGGAAAUGGAAGGAUCGGCUCUACCAUGCUUAAGGUGUCAAGGGCUCAGCUCUACCCCUUUGACAGAGGAUGCCUCUACCUUCUGCACUUCCCUCACCGAGGACCUCAAGGGGCUCGAGCUGUCGCUGGCGAAGGACUCCAUCUCCCUCAGGUGGUUCGUCGAAGCGAUGAGCGUCUUGAAGAGGAUGCAGGUGAGACUCCUUGCCCUGCUGAAGAAAUCUGAGUUGCCGAUCUCGUACGAAGCCGAAGACUGGUUUGAUCAGUACAUGCAAGAGUCUGCGUCUCUAUUAGAUUUCUGCAACUCAAUGAAGUCUGCACUUUCCGGGAUCAACCGGUCUCGCAUGGCUUUAGAGCUCGCAGUCCAUAAACUAAGCGAAGACAACGAGUUCGGAUUGGAAAGAUUACAGAAAGCUCAUGAGGAAAUUUUAGAUUUCAGAAUAGAGAAGGAAAGAUUAGGACUAGCUAAAGGUGGAAUUUUGCUCGGAGGAAAUGGAGGAGACGACAAGAACAUGGCAAUCGUGAUGCUUGCUGCUAAAACCACUGUGACAGUCUUGUCAUGGUUUAUGAUUUCAGCAAUGAUUUCUCCUGUUCCGGUUAAUAUGGAAGACAAGGAGCUGACUUCAUCGAUCCCUGAGCUACAGCAGUGCAUGGAGAUGCUGACACGGAUUUCGAGCCUCGGCAUCGGUCGGGAAGUUGCUCUGGUCGAGCAUGAGAUGGUGAACGAGGCAGUCGAGGAGUUACAGGCGGCGGAGAAGAACAGCCAUAGUUUCCUCAGUGGUCUGGAGAAGUUGAGAACAAGGUCAUUUGAGCUGAAGGAGGGGAUCGAGAGGCUCGGCACAGUAGUGGAUGAGGUGUUCGAGGAGGCCAUCAGAGGAAGGAAUGAGAUGCUUGACAUCUUCAGGAAUGCAACUCUUUGAUUCCUGGUGGAAACAAUGCAUUCUACUGCAAUGGAAGAGCUAGUUUUCAGUCUUCUUCUUCUAUGAUAAUGUAAACUACAGUGGAUCAGCACAGCCAUAUGGCACCUUUUUCAGCGCAGCAACGGCGCCGGAGUCGGAGUGGGUGGCGGAGCUGCCCGCGGCGUCAGCCAGAAAGGCCAUGUGUUUGUUGUCUGCUUAUUUUUGGUCCCACGAUAACAGCGCCUUCAAUUUCUGCCCU